rnacentral:rRNA from 1 species
AUUGAACGCUGGCGGCAUGCCUUACACAUGCAAGUCGAACGGCAGCACGGGAGCAAUCCUGGUGGCGAGUGGCGAACGGGUGAGUAAAGUAUCGGAACGUGCCAGUCGUGGGGGAUAACGUAGCGAAAGUUACGCUAAUACCGCAUACGAUCUAUGGAUGAAAGCGGGGGAUCGCAAGACCUCGCGCGAUUGGAGCGGCCGAUAUCAGAUUAGGUAGUUGGUGGGGUAAAGGCUCACCAAGCCGACGAUCUGUAGCUGGUCUGAGAGGACGACCGGCCACACUGGGACUGAGACACGGCCCAGACUCCUACGGGAGGCAGCAGUGGGGAAUUUUGGACAAUGGGCGAAAGCCUGAUCCAGCCAUGCCGCGUGCAGGAUGAGGGCCUUCGGGUUGUAAACUGCUUUUGUACGGAACGAAAAGGUUUGGCCUAAUAAGCUGAGCUCAUGGCGGUACCGUAAGAAUAAGCACCGGCUAACUACGUGCCAGCCGCCGCGGUAA